AUGAGAAACAUGACACAUGGAUCUUCUGUCUGGCAGUUCUUCUCAGCAGUACUCUAGUGUACAACAGCUUAGGGGUCAUUGACAACACGGCACUGGAAAAGCUGCAUUACAUUACAGAGCUGACGGAGAACAUUCGUGUGAAGGCAGGAGUGAGUCAAGACGAGGAUGUGUGUAAAGAUUUCAUGCAUGUUUUUCCAUCAUUUGUCUGGGCUGUUCGUGACUUUACUUUGGAACUAAUUAAAGCUGAUAAACCAAUAACAUCAGACGAAUAUCUGGAAAGUGCACUGGAAUUAAAACAAGGUUAUUCAAGUCAGAUUGAAAGGAAUAACCUGCCCCGUCGCUGUCUUCGCAAUUUCUUUGCGGUGAGGAACUGCUUUGUUUUUCCUCGACCAGCUAGUACACAAAACAUGAGAAGAAUGGAGGAAGUGACAAAGAAAGAACUGGAUUCAGAGUUCCUUGAGCAGGCAAAAACCUUCUGUUGUUAUAUCUACAACAAUG